GGGCAUGUAGCUGAAUGGUAGUGAAGCCUAAUGGUCAGGACUAGGUCAUGGGUUCAAUCCCUAUCAUGUCCG
rnacentral:tRNA from 1 species